UGAAAAAUUUAUUUAUUUUUUAUUUUGGGGUGAAAUAUGACCUGGAUAUUUCUUUGUGAGAUAUAUAGGCUAAUGUUCUGGAACCUGGGUUCCAUGCAAAGCCAUAAAAAAAAAAAAAAAAAAAUUCAAACUCUGGAAUCAGAGUGGAAGAAUGUGUGUGUUUUACCUCAUGGUGUAGGACAUAUAGAUUCACACUACAUCUAACCUAAGGACCAAUUAAGAAGAAACAAUAUUUUCUCAAAUCGAGGCAGCAGAAUCAAUGUCUUUUGAUUAAAUAAUCAUCUGUCCAUUCUUGUGUUUUUUGGUACUGAUGCUCCAGCUUACGUCAAAAUCAUACUGUAUGUAUUAUGAACAAAAAUACAUUUCUGCACAAAUCCAUCAUUUACAUUUUUUUUAAUCAUAUUGUGCUUUUCGAUUGAAAGUACUUUGUGCCUUUGCAAGCCUUUCCUCUUAUUUCUAAAGGACCUUUGUAUAUAAUAUUUAGAUGUUGGGAUUACUAGUACUUAAUCCAGAAGUAAAAGACUAGGUUUUUUUUUUUUUUUUUUGGUCUGGUCAAAUUGUCAUUAACCAGUCUGUCGAUGUAGUCUCAAAUACAUCUGAACAUUUAUAUCAUGACACUGUUAUGCAGCCUCAACUCACUUUUUUUUUGCUUUAUUUCAAAUGUCCUCAUUCUCAUCCACUGGUGGUUAUUGCCUCUUGAAAUGUGUAAGAUCAAGGUGCAAGGUUAAAGAAGGUUAUUGAUCUCGGUGAUAACUGAUUUUUCUCUGUUUGUUUGGCCAGCAGGUGUUGGAUUUUUGUUAGUAAAUGUUCAAUUUAAAAAAGGUUUGAAGAGCGCUUAACCCAAUCACCAGCAGUUAUUUGUGCUUUUAUUUUAUGUGAAAGGUGUGUUUUGAAUGCACUCUUUUUACACAUUUUUGAAUUUUGUUUGCUUUUGUUUGAUGUGAUUAACGUCAAAUGCUUUUGAAGUUGUCACAAGACAGUGGUUCUCAACCCCCCUACAAACUAGCGUCAGUAGAUUGAAGCAACCAAUUGUGUUUAAAUUAUUUCACAUUUUUCAAAAACUGUAUGUACCAACAAGUUAUAAAUGGUAUAGAUUUAUAAUUGGUCUUGGCUCGGGACACACAGGACCACAUUUCUACAUUGCAAUUGGGAGUUUAAGUGCUGCAUUUUCACCAGAGUGAAAAAUAGGCAUGUGAAUUGGCACUUUGCAUGUAUCUUUUAAUUAUUUACAUUUAUUAAAACUUGUUUUAAAUAAAUGGUCAACGAGCCCAUUUGGAAGUUUGCUGUCGCCCCCUAGUGGCCCCUGGUUGAGAACCACUGUUACAGGGAUAAUCGUUCACUCAUGAGUGUGUAAGAAGUACAUUCAGUAUCGUGAAGAAACGUGAACUAAUGACAUUUGACGUAAAUAAACGUAUUUUGCUUUAAUCAGUACAUUUGUAUACUCC
ensembl:lncRNA